rnacentral:rRNA from 1 species
GUGGGGGACAACGUUUCGAAAGGAACGCUAAUACCGCAUACGUCCUACGGGAGAAAGCAGGGGACCUUCGGGCCUUGCGCUAUCAGAUGAGCCUAGGUCGGAUUAGCUAGUUGGUGGGGUAAUGGCUCACCAAGGCGACGAUCCGUAACUGGUCUGAGAGGAUGAUCAGUCACACUGGAACUGAGACACGGUCCAAACUCAUACGGGAGGCAGCAGUGGGGAAUAUUGGACAAUGGGCGAAAGCCUGAUCCAGCCAUGCCGCGUGUGUGAAGAAGGUCUUCGGAUUGUAAAGCACUUUAAGUUGGGAGGAAGGGCAGUAAGUUAAUACCUUGCUGUUUUGACGUUACCGACAGAAUAAGCACCGGCUAACUCUGUGCCAGCAGCCGCGGUAAUACAGAGGGUGCAACGUUAAUCGGAAUUACUGGGCGUAAAGCGCGCGUAGGUGGUUUGUUAAGUUGGAUGUGAAAGCCCCCGGGCUCAACCUGGGAACUGCAUCCAAAACUGGCAAGCUAGAGUACGGUAGAGGGUGGUGGAAUUUCCUGUGUAGCGGUGAAAUGCGU